rnacentral:lncRNA from 1 species
AGGGACGCCGUCAAUCACCAGCCCCUUCAAGGCGUCGCCGUUCUCCAUCCCCACCUGCUAGGAGGCGCAGGUCACCAUUCCCACCUUCUAGGAGGCGCAGGUCACCAUCCCCACCUGCUAGGAGGCGCAGGUCACCAUCACCACCUGUUAGACGGCGUAGGUCACCAUCACCACCUGCUAGGCCGCGCAGGUCACCAUCGCCCCCUGCUAGGCGUCGCCGUUCUCCACUGCCCUUUAGGCGGCGUAGGUCUCCUUCACC